CACACCAAAUGUUUGAGUAAAUGCUCUCAAUAGUAUCCAAUUACUAUGAAGAAUUACAAUUGAGUGAAUACAAAUGAGGGGAGGCCCUUAUUUAUAAUUGAGCUUCCCCAAAACCAAUGGUACAGAUUGAGUUACAUCAAUGGUUGAUAUUAAAGUCUAUCUACAAUUAAGAGUCCUAAUGGAUUUAAACUCUAUACAAUUGUAUCAAUUUAGGAUUUACCCUAUUUACCCUAGUAAUUCUAGUUUUACUCGAGUGCUUCAUUAGACCACCAUAGCUUCAAGUAGAUAGGCUUUGUAUGGCCCAAAAUUUGCCCGGGUUUAAACCCAUUCCCAUGACCCAUUUACAUUUUACAUCAACCCAUUUUAACCAAAUACCCAAAUCUAAACUAAUGGCCCAAUUAAAAAAACCCAUUACAGGCCCAACUAUCCCACAACCUUUUGUCAGAAACCAAAAACCCUAGCCACCUUGUUCCAUUCGGCCACCUACCCUCUGACACCACGCCACUGACGUCAGCCCACUUGCACCGACCACCAACUCUGCAGCACCGUUCAACUGCUCCUGCAAGACAAAAAAGAGACAAGAUAGAAAAUAAAAGAAAAUAAAGUUGUAUGGCUAUAUAAGCCAAUUAAAACCGAUAUCAAAGGGGUUUUUUUUUGGAUAUUCAAGAACAAACAAAUUAAUACAAAAUUAGAUUUCAAUACAUACGCUAGCAUUGAUUUCAAAAAAAAAUACAAGAAUAACACCAAUCGAGCAACCAAAAUACCGAUAUCAAGGGUAUAAGGUGAUUUAGUCUUUUUGUUUUUUUUUUAUUUUCGAAUCUAUUCCUUCCAUAUUUAUAAAUACAUAAUAUAUAAAUAAAAAUAAAUUUUUUUAAAAAAAUACAAAAAUAUAUAUAUACCUUUUUCGAUUUUCUGGCCACCGUGUACGGUGGCCGGCGGUGGCCGGCAUCGGUGCCGACAACGGUCCGGCGAUCGGACCGGUGACCGGCCCAUGGCCAGAAAUCCCCCUCCCCCUCCCUUCUCUCUUCCUUCUCUCCUUUUUU
rnacentral:lncRNA from 1 species